rnacentral:rRNA from 1 species
CCUACGGGGGGCUGCAGUAGGGAAUCUUCGGCAAUGGACGAAAGUCUGACCGAGCAACGCCGCGUGAGUGAAGAAGGUUUUCGGAUCGUAAAGUUCUGUUGGUAGAGAAGAACGUUGGUGAGAGCGGAAAGCUCACCAAGUGACGGUAACUACCCAGAAAGGGACGGCUAACUACGUGCCAGCAGCCGCGGUAAUACGUAGGUCCCGAGCGUUGUCCGGAUUUAUUGGGCGUAAAUCGAGCGCAGGUGGUUUAUUAGUGCUCAUGUAAAAGGCAGCGGCUAAACCAUUGUAUGCAUUGGAAACUGGUAGACUGUAGUUGAGGAGAGGAGAGGGGAAUUCGAUGUGUAGCGGUGAAAUGCGUAGAUAUAUGGAGGAACACCGGUGGCGAAGGCGGCUCUCUGGUCUGUAACUGACGCUGAGGCUCGAAAGCGUGGGGAGCAAACAGGAUUAGAUACCCGAGUAGUC